UCAGAUGGAUCAUUUCGAUGAAAAACCUUUUUUCUGAGGUGCGGCCCGCACCUGUCUAACUAAAACAGGGCUAUCCAAUUCAACACGGUUGCAUCGGUUGGGCUUGCCAGACAGAGCACGCGAAAGCGUUCUCUCAACGGCAGCCUGACACCAACAAAAACACUUUUGAUGACAUAGGAUUUGAAAGUAUUUUAUUAUUAAACGGCUGGUAAUGCGGUCGUCUAAAAUUUUAAAAACAACUUUUGGCAACGGAUCUCUUGGUUCUCCCAUCGAUGAAGAACGCAGCGAAUUGCGAUAAGUAAUGUGAAUUGCAGAAGUGAAUCAUCGAAUCUUUGAACGCACCUUGCGCUCCCUGCAGAUCUAAUCUGGGGAGCAUGCCUGUUUGAGGGCCGCGAAUUGUUUCGAACGCACUCUUUUUUUAAGUAAAAAGACGGGCGGAUCGGUUGUGAGGGUUUUCUGCCAUUUACCGUGGCUCCCUCGAAAUGCAUUAGUGCAUCCAUUUGAUAGGCAAAGACGGACGAAAGCUCACCUUUUCGCUCUCUCUUCCCUGCCGGGUUUUGAUAAUAUCAGGACUUCGGAGGCGGAGAAAGAGAAAGAGCUGGACGCGACGGCUUUUGCUGGUUGGAGUGCUUCUGAACACCGCCCUUUUUUCUUGACGGAAAAGGGGAUUAAUUCAAAUCGGCCUCAGAUUGGUAGGACUACCCGCUGAACUUAAGCAUAUCAAUAAUAUCAAUAAGCGGAGGAAAAGAAACUAACAAGGAUUCCCCUAGUAACGGCGAGUGAAGAGGGAAGAGCCCAAGAUUGAAAGCUGGCGUCUUCGGCGUCCGCAUUGUAAUCUCAAGAAGUGUUUUCCGCUUCGGACCAUGCCUAAGUCCCUUGGAAAAGGGCAUCAUAGAGGGUGAUAAUCCCGUUCAUGGCAUGGAGCGCCCGAAGCUUUGUGAUACGCUUUCUAAGAGUCGAGUUGUUUGGGAAUGCAGCUCAAAAUGGGUGGUAAAUGCCAUCUAAGGCUAAAUAUUGGGGAGAGACCGAUAGCGAACAAGUACAGUGAUGGAAAGAUGAAAAGAACUUUGAAAAGAGAGUUAAACAGUACGUGAAAUUGCCAAAAGGGAAGGGUAGGAGGUCAGAGAUGCGUCUUGGAAUUCAGCCUUGCUUCUGCUUGGUGUUUUUUCCAAGUUGCAGGCCAACGUCGGUUUUGGGCACUGGAGAAGGGUGGAAGGAAUGUGGCACCUCUCGGGGUGUGUUAUAGCCUUCUACUGGAUACAGCGACCGAGACCGAGGACAGCAGCGUACUCGUAAGAGCGGGCCUUCGGGCACCUUUACGCUUAGGGCGUUGGCAUAAUGGCCCUCUACCACCCGUCUUGAAACACGGACCA
rnacentral:rRNA from 1 species